rnacentral:rRNA from 1 species
AUUGAACGCUGGCGGCAGGCUUAACACAUGCAAGUCGAGCGGAGAUGAGGUGCUUGCACCUUAUCUUAGCGGCGGACGGGUGAGUAAUGCUUAGGAAUCUGCCUAUUAGUGGGGGACAACAUUCCGAAAGGAAUGCUAAUACCGCAUACGCCCUACGGGGGAAAGCAGGGGACCUUCGGACCUUGCGCUAAUAGAUGAGCCUAAGUCGGAUUAGCUAGUUGGGGGGGUAAAGGCCUACCAAGGCGACGAUCUGUAGCGGGUCUGAGAGGAUGAUCCGCCACACUGGGACUGAGACACGGCCCAGACUCCUACGGGAGGCAGCAGUGGGGAAUAUUGGACAAUGGGCGGAAGCCUGAUCCAGCCAUGCCGCGUGUGUGAAGAAGGCCUUUUGGUUGUAAAGCACUUUAAGCGAGGAGGAGGCUACCUGGAUUAAUACUCUAGGAUAGUGGACGUUACUCGCAGAAUAAGCACCGGCUAACUCUGUGCCAGCAGCCGCCGUAACAC